AUCUAGCUGACGAGUCCCAAAUAGGACGAAACGCGCGUCAAACAAAAU
rfam:Schistosoma mansoni strain Puerto Rico chromosome 2, complete genome